AAGGACCCACACCAACACUCCUGACCAAAAGCCUCCAACACCUCAAAGUUCUCAUCUUCUAAUACAUCUCCAUAAAUUGACUGUCCACCUGUUCCACCAUGGUCAGUUACGUCACCUCUCUGACACACAAAGUCAGUAACUAUUCUGUGAAAUUUGGUGUUCUUUAAUCCAAAUCCUUUCUCUCCUGUGUACAGGGCCCUGAGAUUUUCAGCUGUUUGAGGGACAAUAUUUGAAAACAGCUCCAUGGUUACAUGUCCUAAAGAUUUUACCUCCACCGCUGGUAAGGACACAAUUGGCUCAAAAUGGAUAUCACCACUAUGUACCACUUCAUCAUCACUACCACCUUCAUCUUCAUCUGCUUUACUGGGUUUCUGUGCUCCAAACACAGUUGUUCCAGUAUUCACCCAUUUGCAGUCUUCAUCUUAUGAGCCAAAAGCAAUGUCUCCAGAGUUUUUGGAAGCCAGAUAUGCAAAUCACAAGUCUGAAGUAUUGCUAAAACCAAAUUAGACAAUUUUGUUUUCUUGUGUUGACUCUGAACACUCUGAAUCACCUUCUUUUUUAGUUGACAAGUCUACAGGUUUGUCAUCAGCUAGUGAUAAAGUCUGCAACAUAUGAACAUGGUCUGUGGUAGAAUCUGGUUCUUCACUGCUAGCAGCUGACUACACAUAUGCUGUCACCUCAUCAGCUGAUGGACUGGGUACUUCUUCCUUACUGGUACAGACUGAAUCAUUUGAGCUGGUAACGUCAUCGUCUUUGGUGUUUUGAAUUUUAACUUCUGUCUUCCAAGGCCUGGGUUACUUCUCCGGCAGAAGAGCCUGCUACCCCUGCUAAGGACCCAUACCAACACCCUUGACAACAGCUAACAAUGCCCUGCAAGCCACUUCAUGGACUGAGGAUACUCUGAUCUCCGUGCUCUGGGAAUAUUUUCUGUAUGAAAUGCAUAGCUGCUGAUGGUCACUAUGCUUGCACCUCUGACAGGGCCCUUCUGUUUGUGCUCCUUCCUUUUCAUGAGUCUUCCUCAAUAAAGUUCUAAUGCAUGCCA